rnacentral:tRNA from 1 species
GGGGGACUCAGUGGUAGAGUGCAUGACUAGCAUGCGUGAGUUCCUGGGUUCAAUCCCCAGUACCUCUA